GACGAACGCUGGCGGCGUGCUUAACACAUGCAAGUCGAACGGAAAGGCCCUGCUUUUGUGGGGUGCUCGAGUGGCGAACGGGUGAGUAACACGUGAGUAACCUGCCCUUGACUUUGGGAUAACUUCAGGAAAGUGGGGCUAAUACCGGACAGGAGCUCCUGCUGCAGGGUGGGGGUUGGAAAGUUUCGGCGGUUGGGGAUGGACUCGCGGCUUAUCAGCUUGUUGGUGGGGUAGUGGCUUACCAAGGCUUUGACGGGUAGCCGGCCGGGGAGGGUGACCGGCCACAUUGGGACUGCGGUACGGCCCAGACUCCUACGGGAGGCAGCAGUGGGGAAUAUUGCACAAUGGGCGGAAGCCUGAUGCAGCAACGCCGCGUGCGGGAUGACGGCCUUCGGGUUGUAAACCGCUUUCGCCUGUGACGAAGCGUUAGUGACGGUAAUGGGUAAAGAAGCACCGGCUAACUACGUG
rnacentral:rRNA from 1 species